AGUGAACGCUGGCGGUAGGCCUAACACAUGCAAGUCGAACGGCAGCACAGUAAUAGCUUGCUCUUACGGGUGGCGAGUGGCGGACGGGUGAGGAAUACAUCGGAAUCUACUUUUUCGUGUGGGUUAACGUAGGUAAACUUACGCUAAUACCGCAUACGACCUACGGGUGAAAGCAUGGGAUCUUCGGACCUUGCGCGAUUGAAUGAGCCGAUGUCGGAUUAGCUAGUUGGCGGGGUAAAGGCCCACCAAGGCGACGAUCCGUAGCUGGUCUGAGAGGAUGAUCAGCCAAACUGGGACGGAGAAACGGUCCAGAGAGAUAAGGGAGGCAGCAGUGGGGAAAAGUGGACAAUGGGCGCAAGACUGAGCCAGACAUACCGCGGGGGGGAAGAAGGCAGUCGGGUUGUAAAGCCCGUUUGUUGGGAAAGAAAAGCAGCAGGUUAAUACCCCGCUGUUCUGACGGUACCCAAAGAAUAAGCACCGGCUAACUUCGUGC
rnacentral:rRNA from 1 species